GAUGAACGCUAGCUACAGGCUUAACACAUGCAAGUCGAGGGACCGGCGCACGGGUGAGUAACACGUAUCCAACCUGCCCUUUACUCGGGGAUAGCCUGUCGAAAGAAAGAUUAAUACCCGAUAGCAAGGAUGGGGAUGCGUUCCAUUGGGUUGUUGGUGAGGUAACGGCUCACCAAGCUUUCGGUGGAUAGGGGUUCUGAGAUGAAGGUCCCCCACAUUGGAACUGCGCCACGGUCCACACUCCUACGGGAGGCAGCAGUGAGGAAUAUUGGUGAAUGAGCGCUAGCCUGAACCAGCCUCGUAGCGUGAAGGAUGAAUGCUUAUGGGUCGUAAACUUCUUUUAUAUAAGAAUAUGUAUUAUAUGAAUAAGGAUCGGCUAACUCCGUGCCAGCAGCCGCGGUAAUUC
rnacentral:rRNA from 1 species